GAUGAACGCUAGCGGCAGGCUUAAUACAUGCAAGUCGAACGGUAAGUUUGGUAGCAAUAUCAAACCAAGAGUGACGUACGGGUGCGUAACACGUAUGCAACCUACCUUGUACAGGAGUAUAGCUCGGGGAAACUCGAAUUAACCCUCCAUGAGAUCAUAGAAUGGCAUCAUUUAGUGAUUAAAACUCAGGUGGUACAAGAU
rnacentral:rRNA from 1 species